UAAAGCUAUGUAUUAUGCAACCGUAGAUUUUGUUCAGGUGAAAAGUGAGGUGUAUCGCUGAGCAAAAACAUAAUGUUUGCCCAUUAGCUGGUUUCUGUGAAACUUCCACUGUUAGUUACGUUUGAGUAGCAAAAUGUAAAAAAAUUUUUUUUAAAAGACCUACGAGUCUGUCAAAUGCCGCAGUUCCUAUUUGCUCCAAGAGCAAGUAGUUUUGAUAUUGAGGAGACUAAUAGUUUUUAUAUACUGGCGUACAAUAGCAAAGUACAGUAACUGUGCCAACAAUGGAACUAAAUCUAGAAG